GGCUGAUAGAUGUUGCCAAAAGGCGAGUAACAUUGUUUGUUGAUCUUUUACAAAAACCACAUAGGACUGGGUGAAGUCCUAUAGCAACCCUAUGCAAUCCUUAACAAGAGAACCAUAGUAAGACAAAUUAGGCCUAACAUUGCGUAUAGCUUGUAUUAAACACAAUGAGUUCAUUUUCCACACAAUAUUACUUGAAAAAUGGCCCUUCAACCAAGUGCUUCCCUGAACGCCAUAACUUCAGCUAGCUUGGGAUCUGAAGGUCCUUCAAUAAAGUGACUACAUGCAUGAAGAAACUGACCUGAGCUAUCUCGAACCACCUAAUCUGCACCAACACCUUGUCCAUUUGAUGGAACUGAAGCAUCUACAUUGCAUUUAAUAUAACCAUCAACUGGUUUGCGCCACACAACUGCACUAUCCACACCAUACACUUGAGAAUUAACAGGCGCAGCAGUAUUGCAAGGAGCUUGAGCUUGCUGCCAUUGCAGUAAAAAGGCUGAUGCUGAACUCACAACUUGACUGGGAUCCUUAUGUACAUCAUUCCAUAACACAUCAUUUCUAUGUCUCCAAAUGGCCCAUAAGAUCAUACAGACAAGGUUGACCUCAUCCAAAGUACAUUGCUCAAAUAAUUUACACAACCAAUUCAUUAAACCCACCUCCGAAAACUGUAACACACGAGGAAUUGUAGAAGCCCAACAACUAACAGCGAAAGAACAAUACCUCUACACGUGCACAAUGCUUUCAGUACUCUGUGAACAGAUUGAACAAACAUCAUCUGUCUCAACAUGCCAUUGUCGCAAAGUUUCCCCUAUUGGAAUAGACACCGCACACGCCCGCCACAUAUAGCUCUUGACCUUUGGAGGAAUUUUCAAAAGCCAUAGCAUUCCCUAGAAAUUCUUCUCCUCAUCCAAAAUCUGCCAAUCUGUUACUGUAGUUAUGAGAUUGUAAGAGCUCUUUACGGUGUAAAUUCCCUUCUUAUCAUGACACCACAUCCAGACAUUCUGUCUACCCCCACAGCUCAAAGGUAGUUGGAGAAUCAAACUUUUAUUCCUAUCAUUAAAGAGGCAAUUGAGUUUUGCCAUAUCCCAAUCCACACCAUUACUUUAUACCAAAGAACUAACAAACCAUUCAGAUGCAUUUACAGGCCUGAGCGAAGUGACCCAAGGAUGCUCUAAGUCUGCGGCCAAGGAUCCUCCCAAAUUGCAACAUCAUUUCCUGUGCCAACUUGAAGGACACACCCUUCCUUAAGUAUUGGAACAGCUGCUAUAAGACUCCUCCAAAUGAAAUUUGGGUUAUGGCCCAGAGUUGCCUGCAAAACACAGCAACAAGGAUAAUAUCAGGCUUUGUAAACUCUUGCAACAAGGGAAUCUAAGUUAUUGAGGAGCCACCAAACUUGCUUGCCCAAUAAAGCAAUAUUAAAUUCGUGUAAUUUUCGGAAAUUCAACCCGCCCUCAGCCUUCCUUCUACACAUAAAAUCCCACCUAUGCCAUCAAAUUCCCCCACCAGAACCUUG
rnacentral:misc_RNA from 1 species